rnacentral:rRNA from 1 species
UACGGGGGGGGCAAGCGUUGUUCGGAAUUACUGGGCGUAAAGGGCUCGUAGGCGGCCAACUAAGUCAUACGUGAAAUCCCCAGGCUCAACCUGGGAACUGCGUCUGAUACUGGUUGGCUUGAAUCCGGGAGAGGGAUGCAGAAUUCCAGGUGUAGCGAUGAAAUGCGUAGAUAUCUGGAGGAACACCAGUGGCGAAAGCGGCCACCUGGACUGCACCUGACGCUGAAACGCGAAAGCUAGGGGAGCGAACGGG